CUCAACUUUACAACUGAGGAUGGGAAUGACGGAACCAUGUCUCCUUAAACCAUCCCGACAAUACUCCUGCAUGCGUUAUAAUUUAUAGAUUAUGGGGUAUGAAGCCAGGUGGAGUCGGCAGAACAGAGGCUAAAGCCUUACUUUUUUUUUAGUGAUGCCAUGCCAAUGGAUAUGCCGGGCGGCUGAAAA
rfam:Bacillus sp. 1NLA3E, complete genome.